UAGAUGGUUGAUUUAGUUAUUAAAAGCGGUUAAUUACAGGAUUACGGUUAGAAUCUGGAAAUCAAGAGGAAUUAUUUAGGAAUUAUAGAAUUUUAUUGGGAUGCUAGACUGUGAUAGUCAUGAAUUGAGGUAAGCUUAGUGCUACUUCUUUACCUCUUUAUCUCUUUAUUUCUUUGUUGUUGAAGAGUAAUGGAUAGUUUUUGAAUAUUGAGAAGUGAGUCUAUGGAAUAAAUCAGAGAUUGAUUUAUGAGUUAUUGAUUAUGUAAUUAGAGUACCGAUUGAUUGAAUUAUAUGAGGAGUUAUUGAAAGAUUAUGAUUGUUGUUUAUUGAAAGCUGUGUGUGUUUGGACAGAGGAAG
rnacentral:lncRNA from 1 species